rnacentral:lncRNA from 1 species
GUGGAUUCUGGGUCUAGUUAUACCUUUAUUUGGUAAUUCUGGGUCUAGUUAUACGUCUUAAAUUAAAUCAACAAUGCCGCCAUCUACUCAGUUUGCCUAGUUCACAAAUUCUAUUUCGGUGAAUGGCUCCCCCGCGUGAAGCUUGAGGGCAACAUCACCAACAACCUGCACACAAAGGCAGAGCAAAAUUCAGUACGAGAGGAAAUGGUAAAUGGUCACACAAGUCAGCCAGCUUUAAUUCUUUU